UACGGAGGGGGUUAGCGUUGUUCGGAAUUACUGGGCGUAAAGCGCGCGUAGGCGGAUUAGAAAGUUGGGGGUGAAAUCCCGGGGCUCAACCUCGGAACUGCCUCCAAAACUGCUAGUCUAGAGUUCGAGAGAGGUGAGUGGAAUUCCGAGUGUAGAGGUGAAAUUCGUAGAUAUUCGGAGGAACACCAGCGGCGAAGGCGGCUCACUGGCUCGAUACUGACGCUGAGGUGCGAAAGUGUGGGGAGCAAACAGG
rnacentral:rRNA from 1 species